rnacentral:ncRNA from 1 species
GAUAGCCGUGUGCGGGAAAACCAGCACGCACGAUUCGGAGGGAGGGGCGGGUGAAAAUCCGUCCCUAUCCCUAU